UUACUGGAUGGGAGUUAUACCGCAGUGGUCCAUUGUCAGACAUCGAAGAAGAGCGACCGUCAGGUGUUUGGACAGUAA
rnacentral:sRNA from 19 species